rnacentral:SRP_RNA from 1 species
GCCAGGUGCGUUGGCAUGAGCUUGUAGUCCCAGCUACUUGGGAGACUGAGGAUAGAGGAUCUCUUAAGCCCCUGAGGUCUGGGCUGUAGUGUGCUAUGUAGAUCCAAUGUCCAUACUAAGUUAGACAUCAGUAUGGUGACCUCCCCUGGGAGUGGGAGUCCACCAGGUUGCCCAAGGAGGAGUGAAUCAGCCCACAUUGGAAAUGGAGCAGGUCAAAACUCCUGUGCUGAUCAGUAGAGUUAUUUAUGCUUGAUACUGACCUGUUUGAUCAUGGUUUAUUUGUAUUUUA